GCUUUCAUAGUACUUUUCUGACCACGGUUUUCUGGAGUUUUUUCGUAUGGAGUUUGUAAGCUUCCUGACAUGUUAUUUUUGGCAGAUUUUGAUGGAUGUACAUUGAUGGAUAGCCACGUGGAUCCAGAAAAUAAAGACUUCUACUCUGCAUUUGACUAAAGCAGAAGAUAUGCAAGGAAGCUCAGUCUCUCAAUUGAGUGGAUUCUGAAAUUUAUCCUGUUGUCUUCAGCUACUAAGGCUAAUUUGCAAAUCACACUGUGCACGGAAUGUGUGUGUCCCACCCCUGCAGUACUUCAGCAUUCUGAGGUAACAAGACAGUUGGCUUACUGCAUCUUAGAAAGGCUUAUUGAUUUUGUUAUUGCUACAACUAUCAUGGAAGCAGAGGCAGCAAUUUCUCAAGCCUAGUUCCAAAAGGAUUAAACCUGACAAAGAUUUAUAAACAACCUGUUCAGUGGCUGCUGAUUAACUCCCCAAGAUUGAUGUACUGAAGAAGGAUGACCUCCCCUUGACACCAAUGCUACUAGUCAAUAACGACCACUGUGACUCAGAACAAAUUCUCUGGGGGCAGGCAGUGAAGCUUCUUCUCUUGUUGACCUUACCAGACCACAAGGCUGAAAAUAUUCUGUGGCCUGAUGCCCUUAAAUUGAUCAUAUUAAUACAAUCAAGCAGAAAAGAAAUUAAUUUUCCCUCUCUCUCUCUGUCUAUAUAUAUACUUACUACUAUAUAUAUGUGUGUAUAUAUAUGCUAUAUAUGUGUGUGUAUAUAUAUAGCAGUACAUAUAGAUAUAAUUAGUAUAUAU
rnacentral:lncRNA from 10 species